rnacentral:rRNA from 1 species
GAUGAACGCUAGCGGCAGGCCUAAUACAUGCAAGUCGAACGGUCCACUUCGGUGGAUAGUGGCGCACGGGUGCAUAACACGUAUGCAACCUACCUUACAUUGGGGGAUAGCCUUUCGAAAGGGAGAUUAAUACCGCAUAAGACAGUAACAUGGCAUCAUGUAGCUGUUAAAGAUUUAUCGAUGUAAGCUGGGCAUGCGUCCAAUUAGUUAGUUGGUGAGGUAAUGGCUCACCAAGACGAUGAUUGGUAGGGGAACUGAGAGGUCAAUCCCCCACACUGGCACUGAGAUACGGGCCAGACUCCUACGGGAGGCAGCAGUAGGGAAUAUUGGGCAAUGGACGCAAGUCUGACCCAGCCAUGCCGCGUGCAGGAAGAAGGCGUUCUGCGUUGUAAACUGCUUUUAUAUAGGAAGAAACGACCCUUGCGAGGGGCAUUGACGGUAUUAUAUGAAUAAGCACCGGCUAACUCCGUGCCAGCCGCCGCGGUAAUAC